rnacentral:rRNA from 1 species
UGGGGAAUAUUGCACAAUGGGCGCAAGCCUGAUGCAGCCAUGCCGCGUGUAUGAAGAAGGCCUUCGGGUUGUAAAGUACUUUCAGCGGGGAGGAAGGGAGUAAAGUUAAUACCUUUGCUCAUUGACGUUACCCGCAGAAGAAGCACCGGCUAACUCCGUGCCAGCAGCCGCGGUAAUACGGAGGGUGCAAGCGUUAAUCGGAAUUACUGGGCGUAAAGCGCACGCAGGCGGUUUGUUAAGUCAGAUGUGAAAUCCCCGGGCUCAACCUGGGAAAUGCAUUAGAAACUGGCAGGCUAGAGUCUUGUAGAGGGGGGGAGAAUUCCAGGUGUAGCGGUGAAAUGCGUAGAGGUCUGGAGGAAUACAGGUGGCGAAGGCGGCCCCCUGGACAAAGACUGACGCUCAGGUGCGAAAGCGUGGGGAGCAAACAGG